UCUUAUGGAUCAGCAAAGAAACUGGUUUCUUGAGGUAAAAUCUACUUCUGGUGAAAAUGCUGUGAA
rnacentral:pre_miRNA from 1 species